rnacentral:rRNA from 1 species
AUGAGUCCACUAUACCUUCCUAUAUGCGGUAUUUACCUGCCGUUCCAAGUAAAUUUGUAUGUGCCAAACUCCAAACCUUCAAAUGAAAUUCUGUUUUGUAUGCUCGAGCAGCUCAUGUUACAACUAGGGCUGCCUAUAUCUUCCAUGCUAGGUGGGUUAUUCUCAAGAGGAGUGGACUCCGCUCCUCAUUCACGAGAAAGGGCUGGUAACCGGGAUGCCCAGUCCCAUGAUCCAAAAAGAUCAAAGCAAAUCAAAAUAAUUAAACAAAACUCCCCCAGGGCUGUUGUUAGUUGGAGGCACUCGUUGUUUCGAGCAAGCCAUGGAUUGAUUGUUGUUGGUGGUUGGGGAGUAUAA